rnacentral:tRNA from 1 species
GCGGUAAUAGUUUAAGGGUAAAACUUUAGCCUUCCAAGCUAAUGUUACGAGUUCGAUUCUCGUUUACCGCUCCA